rnacentral:ncRNA from 1 species
GUCUAAGUACAUACAGCUAGUACAGUGAAACUGCGAAUGGCUCAUUAAAUCAGUUAUGGUUCCUUUGGUUGCUCCAACCGUUACUUGGAUAACUGUGGUAAUUCUAGAGCUAAUACAUGCCAACAAGCGCUGACCUCCGGGGAUGCCAGGGCAUCAAGACUUCAAAGUCCUGAAGUCAAGGAUUUCUGUAUUGCUGACUGACUUGCCAGCUUUGUGAUGGAUAGUAAAGGUGAUCAGCUUGUGGUCACUGUCACCCAGCUUUCCCCGUUGAUUCUUAGAUCACUGACUAAAUCAUCCCCUCUGGCCAGCAAUGCUUUACCUCUCAUCAGCCCAUAAACUUCUCAGGUCAGGUAGAG